rnacentral:rRNA from 1 species
GAUGAACGCUGGCGGCGUGCCUAAUACAUGCAAGUCGAGCGAACGGACGAGAAGCUUGCUUCUCUGAUGUUAGCGGCGGACGGGUGAGUAACACGUGGAUAACCUACCUAUAAGACUGGGAUAACUUCGGGAAACCGGAGCUAAUACCGGAUAAUAUUUUGAACCGCAUGUUCAAAAAUUGAAGACGGGCUUUCUGUCCCUUAUUGAUUGAUCCGCGCUGCAUUAGCUAGUUGGUAAGGUAACGGCUUACCAAGGCAACGAUGCAUAGCCGACCUGAGAGGGUGAUCGGCCACACUGGAACUGAGACACGGUCCAGACUCCUACGGGAGGCAGCAGUAGGGAAUCUUCCGCAAUGGGCGAAAGCCUGACGGAGCAACGCCGCGUGAGUGAUGAAGGUCUUCGGAUCGUAAAACUCUGUUAUUAGGGAAGAACAUAUGUGUAAGUAACUGUGCACAUCUUGACGGUACCUAAUCAGAAAGCCACGGCUAACUACGUG